rnacentral:rRNA from 1 species
UGCCAGCCGCCGCGGUAAUACGGAGGGGGCUAGCGUUGUUCGGAAUUACUGGGCGUAAAGCGCGCGUAGGCGGCUUGAUAAGUUGAUGGUGAAAGCCCGGAGCUCAACUCCGGAACUGCCGUCAAAACUAUCUCGCUAGAGGCAAGGAGAGGAGAGCGGAAUACCCAGUGUAGAGGUGAAAUUCGUAGAUAUUGGGUGGAACACCGGUGGCGAAGGCGGCUCUCUGGCCUUGUUCUGACGCUAAGGCGCGAAAGCGUGGGGAGCAAACAGGAUUAGAUA